AUGAACCAUGGACGGAGGUUCGUGACAUUGGAGGUUCGUGACAUUGUACAGGAGACAGGGAUCAAGACCAUCCCCAUGGAAAAGAAACGUAAAACAGCGAAAUGGCUCUCUGGGGAGGCCUUACACAUAGCUGUGAAAAGAAGAGAAGUGAAAGGCAAAGGAGAAAAGGAAAGAUAUAAGCAUCUGAAUGCAGAGUUCCAAAGAAUAGCAAGGAGAGAUAAGAAAGCCUUCCUCAGAGAUCAAUGCAAAGAAAUAGAGGAAAACAACAGAAUGGGAAAGACUAGAGAUCUCCUCUUCAAGAAAAUUAGAGAUACCAAGGGAACAUUUCAUGCAAAGAUGGGCUCGAUAAAGGACAUAAAUAGUAUGGACCUAACAGAAGCAGAAGAUAUUAAGAAGAGGUGGCCAGAAUACACAGAAGUGUAUAAAAAAGAGCUUCGUGACCCAGAUAAUCAAGAUGGUGUGAUCACUCACUUAGAGCCAGACAUCCUGGAAUGUGAAGUCAAGUGGGCCUUAGAAAGCAUCACUAAGAACAAAGCUAGGGGAGGUGAUGGAAUUCCAGUCAAGCUAUUUCAAAUCCUGAAAGAUGAUGCUGUGAAAGUGCUGUACUCAAUAUGCCAGCAAAUUUGGAAAACUCAGCAGUGGCCACAGGACUGGAAAAGGUCAGUUUGCAUUUCAAUUCCAAAGAAAGGCAAUGCCAAAGAAUGCUCACACUACCGCACAAUUGCACCCAUCUCACACACUAGUAAAGUAAUGCUCAAAAUUCUCCAAGCCAGGCUUCAGCAAUACGUGAACUGUGAACUUCCAGAUGUUGAAGCUGGUUUUAGAAAAGGCAGAGGAACCAGAGAUCAAAUUGCCAACAUCUGCUGCUGGAUCAUGGAAAAAGCAAGAGAGUUCCAGAAAAACAUCCAUUUCUGCUUUUUUGACUAUGCCAAAGCCUUUGACUGUGUGGAUCACAAUAAACUGUGGAAAAUUCUGAAAGAGAUGGAAAUACCAGACCACCUGACCUGUCUCUUGAGAAACCUAUAUCCAGGUCAGGAAGCAACAGUUAGAACUGGACAUGGAACAAAAGACUGGUUCCAAAUAGGAAAAGCAGUACAUCAAGGCUGUAUAUUGUCACCCUGCUUAUUUAACUUCUAUGCAGAGUACAUCAUGAGAAACGCUGGGUUGGAUGAAGCACAAGCUGGAAUCAAGAUUGCCGGGAGAAAUAUCAAUAACCUCAGAUAUGCAGAUGCAGAUGACACCACCUUUAUGGCAGAAAGUGAAGAGGAACUAAAAAGCCUCUUGAUGAAAGUGAAAGGGGAGAGUGAAAAAGUUGGCUUAAAGCUCAACAUUCAGAAAACUGAGAUCAUGGCAUCUGGUCCCAUCAUUUCAUGGGAAAUAGAUGGGGAAACAGUGGAAACAGUAUCAGACUUUAUUUUGGGGGGCUCCAAAAUCACUGCAGAUGGUGAUUGCAGCCAUGAAAUUCAAAAACGCUUACUCCUUGGAAGGAAAGUUAUGAACAACUUAAAUAGCAUAUUCAAAAGCAAAGACAUUACUUUGCCAACAAAGGUCCAUCUAGUCAAGGCUAUGGUUUUUCCAGUGGUCAUGUAUGGAUGUGAGAGUUGGACUGUGAAGAAAGCUGAGUGCUGA
rnacentral:lncRNA from 1 species